rnacentral:rRNA from 1 species
UCCAGACUCCUACGGGAGGCAGCAGUGGGGGAUAUUGCACAAUGGGGGGAACCCUGAUGCAGCGACGCCGCGUGGGUGAAGGAGCGUUUCGGCGCGUAAAGCCCUAUCGGCAGGGAAGAAGGAGGACGGUACCUGACUAAGAAGCCCCGGCUAACUACGUGCCAGCAGCCGCGGUAAUACGUAGGGGGCAAGCGUUAUCCGGAUUUACUGGGUGUAAAGGGGGCGCAGACGGCAGCGCAAGCCAGGAGUGAAAGCCCGGGGCCCAACCCCGGGACUGCUCUUGGAACUGGGCGGCUGGAGUGCAGGAGGGGCAGGCGGAAUUCCUGGUGUAGCGGUGAAAUGCGUAGAUAUCAGGAGGAACACCGGUGGCGAAGGCGGCCUGCUGGACUGCGACUGACGUUGAGGCCCGAAAGCGUGGGGAGCAAACAGGAUUAGAUACCCCUGUA